ACGCUGGCGGCAUGCUUUACACAUGCAAGUCGGACGGCAGCACAGAGAAGCUUGCUUCUUGGGUGGCGAGUGGCGAACGGGUGAGUAAUAUAUCGGAACGUACCGAGUAAUGGGGGAUAACUAAUCGAAAGAUUAGCUAAUACCGCAUAUUCUCUGAGGAGGAAAGCAGGGGACCUUCGGGCCUUGCGUUAUUCGAGCGGCCGAUAUCUGAUUAGCUAGUUGGUGGGGUAAAGGCCUACCAAGGCGACGAUCAGUAGCGGGUCUGAGAGGAUGAUCCGCCACACUGGGACUGAGACACGGCCCAGACUCCUACGGGAGGCAGCAGUGGGGAAUUUUGGACAAUGGGCGCAAGCCUGAUCCAGCCAUGCCGCGUGUCUGAAGAAGGCCUUCGGGUUGUAAAGGACUUUUGUCAGGGAAGAAAAGGCUGUUGCUAAUACCGACAGCUGAUGACGGUACCUGAAGAAUAAGCACCGGCUAACUACGUGCCAGCAGCCGCGGUAAUACGUAGGGUGCGAGCGUUAAUCGGAAUUACUGGGCGUAAAGCGUGCGCAGACGGUUACUUAAGCAGGAUGUGAAAUCCCGGGCUCAACCUGGGAACUGCGUUCUGAACUGGGUGACUAGAGUGUGUCAGAGGGAGGUAGAAUUCCACGUGUAGCAGUGAAAUGCGUAGAGAUGUGGAGGAAUACCGAUGGCGAAGGCAGCCUCCUGGGAUAACACUGACGUUCAUGCUCGAAAGCGUGGGUAGCAAACAGGAUUAGAUACCCUGGUAGUCCACGCCCUAAACGAUGUCAAUUAGCUGUUGGGCAACUUGAUUGCUUAGUAGCGUAGCUAACGCGUGAAAUUGACCGCCUGGGGAGUACGGUCGCAAGAUUAAAACUCAAACGAAUUGACGGGGACCCGCACAAGCGGUGGAUGAUG
rnacentral:rRNA from 1 species